rnacentral:rRNA from 1 species
UACAGAAGGUGCGAGCGUUAAUCGGAAUUACUGGGCGUAAAGCGUGCGUAGGUGGUUCAUUAAGUCAGAUGUGAAAGCCCUGGGCUUAACCUAGGAAUUGCAUUUGAUACUGGUGAGCUAGAGUGUAGUAGAGGGAAGUGGAAUUUCCGGUGUAGCGGUGAAAUGCGUAGAUAUCGGAAGGAACAUCAGUGGCGAAGGCGGCUUCCUGGACUAAUACUGACACUGAGGUACGAAAGCGUGGGUAGCAAACGGG